rnacentral:rRNA from 1 species
UGAGUAACACGUGGGCAAUCUGCCCUGCACUUCGGGAUAAGCCUGGGAAACUGGGUCUAAUACCGGAUAGGACCUUUAGACGCAUGUCUUUUGGUGGAAAGCUUUUGCGGUGUGGGAUGGGCCCGCGGCCUAUCAGCUUGUUGGUGGGGUGAUGGCCUACCAAGGCGACGACGGGUAGCCGGCCUGAGAGGGUGUCCGGCCACACUGGGACUGAGAUACGGCCCAGACUCCUACGGGAGGCAGCAGUGGGGAAUAUUGCACAAUGGGCGCAAGCCUGAUGCAGCGACGCCGCGUGGGGGAUGACGGCCUUCGGGUUGUAAACCUCUUUCACCAUCGACGAAGGUCCGGGUUUUCUCGGAUUGACGGUAGGUGGAGAAGAAGCACCGGCCAACUACGUGCCAGCAGCCGCGGUAAUACGUAGGGUGCGAGCGUUGUCCGGAAUUACUGGGCGUAAAGAGCUCGUAGGUGGUUUGUCGCGUUGUUCGUGAAAUCUCACGGCUUAACUGUGAGCGUGCGGGCGAUACGGGCAGACUAGAGUACUGCAGGGGAGACUGGAAUUCCUGGUGUAGCGGUGGAAUGCGCAGAUAUCAGGAGGAACACCGGUGGCGAAGGCGGGUCUCUGGGCAGUAACUGACGCUGAGGAGCGAAAGCGUGGGGAGCGAACAGGAUUAGAUACCCUGGUAGUCCACGCCGUAAACGGUGGGUACUAGGGUGUGGGGUUUCCUUCCUUGGGAUCCGUGCCGUAGCUAACGCAUUUAAGUACCCCCGCCUGGGGGAGUACGGGCCGCAAGGCUAAAAACUCAAAGGAAUUUGACGGGGGGCCCCGCACAA